GCCGGGCGACGGUUGUCCCGGUUUAAGCGUGUAGGGGGUGUGACCUGGUAAAUCCGGUUGCAUGUUAACCCUGAGGCGUGAUGACGAUGCACUACGGUGCAGAAGUAGUUGAUGCCCUGCUUCCAGGAAAAUCCUCUAAGCUCCAGGUAACAUUAAAUCGUACCCCAAACCGACACAGGUGGUCAGGUAGAGAAUACCAAGGCGCUUGAGAGAACUCGGGUGAAGGAACUAGGCAAAAUGGUGCCGUAACUUCGGGAGAAGGCACGCUGGCAUGUAGGUGAAGUCCCUUGCGGAUGGAGCUGAAGCCAGUCGAAGAUACCAGCUGGCUGCAACUGUUUAAUAAAAACACAGCACUGUGCAAACACGAAAGUGGACGUAUACGGUGUGACGCCUGCCCGGUGCUGGAAGGUUAAUUGAUGGGGUCAGCCGCAAGGCGAAGCUCUUGAUCGAAGCCCCAGUAAACGGCGGCCGUAACUAUAACGGUCCUAAGGUAGCGAAAUUCCUUGUCGGGUAAGUUCCGACCUGCACGAAUGGCGUAAUGAUGGCCAGGCUGUCUCCACCCGAGACUCAGUGAAAUUGAACUCGCUGUGAAGAUGCAGUGUACCCGCGGCAAGACGGAAAGACCCCGUGAACCUUUACUAUAGCUUGACACUGAACAUUGAGCCUUGAUGUGUAGGAUAGGUGGGAGGCUUUGAAGCGUGGACGCCAGUCUGCGUGGAGCCAUCCUUGAAAUACCACCCUUUAAUGUUUGAUGUUCUAACUCGGCCCCGUGAUCCGGGGUGAGGACAGUGUCUGGUGGGUAGUUUGACUGGGGCGGUCUCCUCCCAAAGAGUAACGGAGGAGCACGAAGGUUAGCUAAUCACGGUCGGACAUCGUGAGGUUAGUGCAAAGGCAUAAGCUAGCUUGACUGCGAGAGUGACGGCUCGAGCAGGUACGAAAGUAGGUCUUAGUGAUCCGGUGGUUCUGAAUGGAAGGGCCAUCGCUCAACGGAUAAAAGGUACUCCGGGGAUAACAGGCUGAUACCGCCCAAGAGUUCAUAUCGACGGCGGUGUUUGGCACCUCGAUGUCGGCUCAUCACAUCCUGGGGCUGAAGUAGGUCCCAAGGGUAUGGCUGUUCGCCAUUUAAAGUGGUACGCGAGCUGGGUUUAGAACGUCGUGAGACAGUUCGGUCCCUAUCUGCCGUGGGCGUUGGAAGAUUGAGAGGGGUUGCUCCUAGUACGAGAGGACCGGAGUGAACGCACCACUGGUGUUCGGGUUGUCAUGCCAAUGGCAUUGCCCGGUAGCUAAGUGCGGAAAAGAUAAGCGCUGAAAGCAUCUAAGCGCGAAACUUGCCUCAAGAUGAGUCUUCCCUGGGCCUUUAAGGCCCCUGAAGGAACGUUUAAGACUAAGACGUUGAUAGGCUGGGUGUGUAAGUGCAGCGAUGCAUUGAGCUAACCAGUACUAAUGAUCCGUGAGGCUUAACCUU
rnacentral:rRNA from 1 species